GAGGGAUCAUCAUGGACAUCAGACCCAGAGCCAUGAAGGACACCACCUGAAACAGACACAUUCAGUGUCUCUAUUAUUUCUGUUUCUAACGGACAUGGCUGCCUGUUUCAUAGGCCAUAGCUGCAACCUUUGGAACAGCAGAACAGGAAGACCAAACGCAUAUAAGUCAGACCCUCCCACUCCCCUCAGUCCUGACCCCCAAAUCAGAUCCAAAACAUUUAACCGCCCUCUGAAGUCUUUUCUGAACUUGUGAAAUAUUUGCUCUGCUUUGAAGGGCUCUACAUUCAUAAUGACCAUAGGAUAGGCAUGUUUAGGGAUACAGAGAGACCAUACAGGAGAGGUUUCCUGAGGUGGUCGAGCCAAUACAAAGACCGGGGCUGUGUUUACAUCUGGGCCCGGGCCUGAAACAACAGACCUGACAGAGGGAGGCCGGAGCUGGAACAUCCGACAUCUGGAUAGAGGGAGAUCAACUUCACAGCUCCAUGCUGCAGCUUUACACAUCAUCCUCAUCCUUCACUAUCUCACUAGUUCACACCAAAGUUGACCAUAUGUCCAUUUUUAAAAAUACAAUGAAUUUUGGAUUCUAAUCAUCAUGGUAAGCAAAGUUACUGUGCUUUAAAAUCACAUGUUCCCUUUUUUGCGGUCAAAAAUAAAGUGUUAUUUUACACAUAUUCUCAAUACUUUUUUGAAUUAUUAAAAACAAACUAAAAACAAGUUCUUUGGAGAAAUAUCAGAAAUACUCCUUUUCUUUUCAGCCACUGGAAGUGCGUGUUUGUGUUUGAUUGACAGCAGCUGGCAGGCUGAGACGUGACAGGUAAACGACAAACAGUGUAAAGUGUAGCUUACAAACCAUGAGCAGACAGCAUCUUGUUAGUAGUGGUACAGAAGAGUAAGAACCACACUAGCAUCUAUAAAGACCAAAGUGACAUUUGCUGAGAUGUUUAAAUGCUGGUUAAUGUGCUGCAGCUAUGCAGCUGAUUAGCCACCUAGCCUGCAAACUGGCAUUAGAGGUGCACUUUUCGCCAGAAUGUUUGUUUAGGUGCCAGAGCUUAGGUGCCAGUCAAUCGUGUGUCAGACACACGAUUAACUCUGACUUUUUUUCAAAAUAUUGUACCCUUUUAACUUAACAUAACCCAAUUCAGGGCAGGAGCAAAUACACAUGUGUACUUAUAAUUUGA